rnacentral:rRNA from 1 species
CAGUCGCCGCGGGAAUACGAAGGGUGCAAGCGUUACUCGGAAUUACUGGGCGUAAAGCGUGCGUAGGUGGUGGUUUAAGUCCGUUGUGAAAGCCCUGGGCUCAACCUGGGAAUUGCAGUGGAUACUGGGUCACUAGAGUGUGGUAGAGGAUAGUGGAAUUUCCGGUGUAGCAGUGAAAUGCGUAGAGAUCGGAUGGAACAUCUGUGGCGAAGGCGACUAUCUGGGCCAACACUGACACUGAGGCACGAAAGCGUGGGGAGCAAACAGGAUUAGAUACCCCCGUAGUCCCUGUCUCUUAUAA